rnacentral:rRNA from 1 species
AGUGAACGCUGGCGGUAGGCCUAACACAUGCAAGUCGAACGGCAGCACAGUAAGAGCUUGCUCUUACGGGUGGCGAGUGGCGGACGGGUGAGGAAUACAUCGGAAUCUACUUUUUCGUGGGGGAUAACGUAGGGAAACUUACGCUAAUACCGCAUACGACCUACGGGUGAAAGCAGGGGAUCUUCGGACCUUGCGCGAUUGAAUGAGCCGAUGUCGGAUUAGCUAGUUGGCGGGGUAAAGGCCCACCAAGGCGACGAUCCGUAGCUGGUCUGAGAGGAUGAUCAGCCACACUGGAACUGAGACACGGUCAAGACUCCUACGGGAGGAAGAAGUGGGGAAUAUUAGACAAUGGGCGAAAGCCUGAUCAAGCAAUACCGCGUGGGUGAAGAAGGCCUUCGGGUUGUAAAGACCUUUUGUUGGGAAAGAAAAGCAGCAGGUUAAUACCCCGCUGUUCUGACGGUACCCAAAGAAUAAGCACCGGCUAACUUCGUG